rnacentral:lncRNA from 1 species
AUAAGUAAUAGGAUAACUAUUUUUGAUAUGUGCGUACCUUGCAAGGUCCUCAUGUCUGUCAGACAGUUUUCACUUGACCUCGACCUCAUUCCAUGGAUCGGUGAACAAGGUUAAGUUUUGGUGGUCAAGUCCAUAUCUCAGAUACUAUAAGCAAUAGGGCUAGUAUAUUCGGUGUAUGGAAGGACUGUAAGGUGUACAUGUCAAACUGGCAGAUGUCAUCUGACCUUGACCUCAUUUUCAUGGUUCAGUGGUUAUAGUUAAAUUUUUGUGUUUUGGUCUGUUUUUCUCAUACUAUAUGCAAUAGGUCUACUAUAUUGGUUGUAUGGAAUGAUUGUAAGGUGUACAUGUCUAGCGGGCAGAUGUCAUGUGACCUUGACCUCAUUUUCAUGGUUCAGUGGUCAAAGUUAAGUUUUUCAGUUUUGGUCUUAUUAUCUAAUACUAUAUGCCAUAGGUCAACGAUAUUUGGUGUGUGGAAAUAUUUUAUGAUCUUUAUGUCAGUCGCCCAGG